rnacentral:rRNA from 1 species
AUUGAACGCUGGCGGCAGGCCUAACACAUGCAAGUCGAGCGAGCGGCGGACGGGUGAGUAAUGUAUGGGGACUGCCCGAUAGAGGGGGAUAACUACUGGAAACGGUGGCUAAUACCGCAUACUGUUGGAUAACCCAUAUGGGAUUAGCUCGUAGGUAAGGUAAUGGCUUACCUAGGCGACGAUCCCUAGCUGGUCUGAGAGGAUGAUCAGCCACACUGGUACUGAGACACGGCCCUGACUCCUACGGAGGCAGCAGUGGGGAAUAUUGCACAAUGGGCGCAAGCCUGAUUCAGCCAUGCCGCGUGUAUGAAGAAGGCCCUAGGGUUGUAAAGUACUUUCAGUCGGGAGGCGUUACCGACAGAAGAAGCACCGGCUAACUCCGUGCCAGCAGCCGCGGUAAUAG